rnacentral:rRNA from 1 species
CGUAGGGACCGAGCGUUGUCCGGAUUCAUUGGGCGUAAAGAGCUCGUAGGCGGCUGUUCAAGUCGAACGUGAAAACUCGGGGCUCAACUCCGAGCCUGCGUUCGAUACUGAAUGGCUAGAGUCUGGUAGGGGGAUCUGGAAUUCCUGGUGUAGCGGUGGAAUGCGCAGAUAUCAGGAGGAACACCGGUGGCGAAGGCGGGAUCCUGGGCCAGUACUGACGCUGAGGAGCGAAAGCGUGGGGAGCAAACAGGAUUAGAUACCCUGGUAGUCCACGCCGUAAACGAUGGGCGCUAGGUGUGGGAGGUCAUCGACUCCUUCCGUGCCGCAGCUAACGCAUUAAGCGCCCCGCCUGGGGAGUACGGCCGCAAGGCUA